GUUAACUCCUCUUCAUAAGUCAAUUGUUUUUAUUUUAUUUUAAAUUAACUUAAUUGAUUUAGAGAUGGCACCUGCCACAUCUCGAAGUGCACUCUGGUUGCUUCCACUUUUAUCCUUCUCCCUGUCCUCUAAAAUUUUUGUUGCACUUGGUGUAUGCCUCCCAUCAUAGGAUUUAGACUAUUUGCUAUUAUGAUGCGUGUUUUAGAUUGUUG
rnacentral:misc_RNA from 1 species